AAGCAACACAACCUUUAAUGCAGUUUACAAUGGUGAAUCAAAUUCUGCUGUUUCACUUGUGGAUAUAAGUAGGAUCUGAAGUAAUGCUUCCGCUACAGCUAUCUGGAAUGGGAGACAAAUCUUGGAGUUGAAAUCACUGGGAGCUGGAAUCAUUUGAGAUGGAUGGGCAGAAACCACAGCCAAGAACUGGAUGGCAGCAGAUGGUGACUGAGAGCCAACAGAAACGUGCGUCUGUCCAUCCAUCUGUGAGUCGGUUUAUUCAAGAACAACUCCGAAAUGGUGGUGAGGGCCAUCAGCACCAUCCUGCUCUGCCAGAUCAUCCUCCAGAGUGAUAUGGGUUUCCUCAGUUGUGGUGGAGGCCAUUGACAGCACCCACAUCCUCAGCAGUACCCUGACCACCGAGCAGCCGACUACAUGAACUGGAAGGGGUACUUUUCCAUGGUCUUGCAGGCCAUUGUGGACCAAUGAGGUCAGUUCACUGACAUCACGGGUGGUCAGGGAAGGCUCAUGAUGCCUGCAUCUUCAGGAACUCCAGCCUCUUCCAAAAGAUGCAA